rnacentral:tRNA from 1 species
UAGAGCCUUACUAGACAGAUGGGCCUUGAUCCCAUAAAAACCUAGUUAACAGCUAGAUGCCCAAACCACACAGGCUUCAGUCUA